UUGAAAGGGAAACGAUUGAAGUCAGUCGUGCUGGCGCGAAAUCAACCUUCUCGUCUUGAGAUCACAUGGCGUGGCGAGCCUCAAAACCGUCACGAAGCGUGAACUCUUGGUGAAAUGGAGCACUUUCGUGUCCGCUGGUUAACAUCAAUUUCGAACGUCAUAAAAAGGCUGGAGGGAUGUGGCUCCUUCGGGAGUGUUAUAACCUUUAGCGGAAUGUGGUGUUCGGGAUUGAGGAUUGCAACGAAUACCUUUAGGGCUGUUCCACCUGGCUUCUCUUUGGUAUCCUGGUGGCGACAGCUUGCUGACGUCGUUAGGAUUCGCCUUUGAACAGGUUAGAGUGUGAGCAAAUUCGUUAAGGAUGUUGACGUA
rnacentral:rRNA from 1 species